CGGCCGACAGGGACAGUUCCGAUACCACCAAUCUUGUACACGUCCUGAAGUGGGAGACGGAGGGGCUUGUCAGAUGGUCUCUUGGGCUCAUUAAUCUGGUCGAGGGCCUCGAGCAAUGUUGGACCCUUGUACCAGUCAAGGUUGGUAGACCUCUCAAUCAUGUUGUCUCCCUCGAAUCCGGAGAUGGGGACAAAUGGAAUCUUGUCAGGGUUAUAUCCCACCUUCUUCAGGUAAGAAGAGACUUCCUUAACAAUUUCAUCAUACCUAGCCUUGGAGUACUUGGGGGUGGUGGCAUCCAUCUGUCACAAUAGAUGCCAAAGUUAGGUCGUCAAUCAACACACCCAGAUGAAGCCAUCAACAGCAGUGUGGAACAUUAAAUAUUACCUUGUUACAGCAGCAAAUCAUUUGCCUGACACCAAGGGUGAAAGCAAGGAGAGCAUGUUCACGGGUCUGGCCAUCCUUGGAAAUACCAGCUUCGAAACCACCAGUGGUGGAAUCAAUGAUAAGGACAGCACAGUCGGCCUGGGAGGUUCCAGUAAUCAUAUUCUUAAUAAAGUCACGAUGUCCAGGAGCAUCAAUGACAGUGCAGUAGUACUUGGUGGUCUCGAACUUCCACAAGGCAAUAUCAAUGGUAAUACCGCGCUCGCGCUCGGCCUUGAGCUUGUCAAGCACCCAAGCAUACUUGAACGAUCUCUUGUUCAUCUCAGCAGCUUCCUUCUCGAAUCUCUCAAUCACACGCUUGUCGAUUCCUCCGAGCUUGUAUAUCAAGUGGCCAGUAGUGGUUGACUUCCCAGAAUCGACAUGGCCAAUGACCACAAUGCUGAUGUGAAUCUUCUCCUUACCCAUUUUGAUGUACGAGGCUUAAACUGUCCAAUGAAAAAAGAGAAAAUUAUUAGACGUUAGGAUAAGGAUUUAAAGCAUCUUGAAAAAGCAAAAGUAACUGUGAGAACAAGAAAACUCAUAUUAAUAACAACAUCGAUCUAACAUUUCCACAUUGUCAAUCGCAGCAUAUUUUUAACACCGUGUCUCCCAACAAGAAAUUUCACAUAAGAUUCCAAUCACAAGAAAUCAUACAUAAAAUUCUAAUAAAAUUCAGUCAGACAACCAAUUUGAGACAUGUUCCAAUCUCGGUCGAGUAAGACAACGGACCACUUUUUCGAAACACACAUCCGAAACACGCAAUCCAGGCUUCUCAAGAUUCAAAGCAAACAUAAGAAAAAGGACAAAAGCUAAAAUCAUGAGAUAUUAAAAAAAAAAAAAAAAAACCCAAUCUCACACCCACGCAUGAGUGCGGUGGAAGGAGAUCAAAUCAGACCAGGACCAUCGAACCAAUCAUACAAAAACGCCGCCUUCCCAGGCUCCUCCAGUCGUAACCUUAUCUUAGAUACCAGACUCCGCCGCGACAGCCACAAAACGGCCAAGCUAAAAACCACCCACGACAGCAAAUCCACCACCCAUUCUCCUCAACAGACUCGAGGGAGAAAGCUACCCAGCCGAGUUCCGAACAAUCUCGAGCUCAGAAAACACAAAGCAAACAAAACAAAACAAGCAAGCAACGCAAGCACGAACAACCGAUGAUCGAACAACAAGGUCAGCGAUCAAGAACAAGAACGAGAGGAGAUUGAAGGGUCACCUCGGCAGAUCUCGCAGCUGGCCGCGAGAGGGAGAGAGAGGUGACGAGCAGCAGCAGCAGAAGGGAAGGGCAGGGCAGGAUUAGGGUUUGAGAGUGAGGAACGCAGCCUUACACGAGGCUUUAUAUAGCACCCCUCGCUAAUGCCAUUUUUCGUUUCCCAGGAGUGUCCUCAUCUCGCGCUCAUAAUUUCGACAUUGGCCUCUUCAAGCUUCUUUUUUUUUUUUUUUUCCAUUUUUAUUCUUGCUUUCCUUGAUAAUUACCGAGUGGCCAUGCUAUUUCCAUCCCUCAAUUAUUAAAUACACCCUUAUUUACACUAGAGGAACAAAAUUGCCCUCAAUCUUUCGAUUGCAAUUUAAAUAAUGGCCCAUUUCCUCUCUUUUUUUCUAAUUUUUUUCUAUUUAUGAUAUUGCCAUAAUUAAGCUUUUCACAUGUUUUGUUUGUUAGCGUAUCAAAGAAAAUUGCAUUAUCGGAUAAAAGAAAGAUAGUGCCUCUAAUAUACAUAGAAAAUAUAAAAUUAACUAAAAUUAAACAUAUAAAUUCUUAACUAUGGUAAGUAAAUCUUAUGUAGAUAUAAAAACUAAAAAAAAAAAAAAGUAAAUAAAUUUGGGACUACUAAUGUAAGAUAGAUGCAACUUUGUAUUUUUGGAAGAGUUAGGUGAAUUUAGUUAUAUAAGGAAUGGAAAGAGCGUUGCCCUUACCAUAUACACUCUCAAUUUGUUUUUGUCUACCAUAGUACAUUUACUAUUUUUUAAAAGUUUCAGUCCGUACCAUGAUUAUUUAUUUUAUAAAUCUUCAAUCAUGAUCAUAUUUCUAUUUUUCUUCCAAAUUUUAGCCAUCACUUUUCCAAUCUCCCACACUCCCACAUCGUGUUUUGUUUACUUAAAAAUGGAAAAAUCACACUAAUAGUUCUUUAACUUUGACCGAGUGCACAACGUCAUUCUUAAAUUUUUUGUUCUUCUUUUGUUUGAAUGCGCAAGAGAGAGAGUCACAAGUCUCUAAACUAUCAUGAUAGAUACAAUAUGGUCUUUAAAUAUAGCUAAAUGUGCAACCUAAAUUCUUAAACUUUCAAUUUGCCUGAUUUAGUCACUCGAUAUUCCAUAACUAGGUCAAAUCAUUCCUUCUAUCACUAUUGUUGAUUUCGUAAUAUUAUUUCAUUUCAAUCCAUUUCCUCAAUAACAAAAAAAGUGGCUAUCUUUCUAUUUACUUUUUUAUCUUAUUGAUAUUAUAUAUAUUACGAUAGUUCUACUUAAUUAUACCUUAGCUUAUUAUCUCUAUGAUAGUAAAAGUAGAAUCCCAUUGAGAGCAAUAUCAGUUUGAUAUUUUUUCUUCUAUUUAAUUUUAAGUAUUUUCAUAAUACUAUCUGAAAUAUAUAUAUAUAUAUAUAUAUAUAUAUAUAUAUUUGUAUAACUCUCUAUAGAUACUUGUACUUACAUUAAUCUAAAUCUCAUUCCUAUCGUUUAAUAAACUUAUCAAGUUUUUACGUUUCUCGUAUUCUUCAUUAAAUUCAGUUAAAUUCAUUGUUUGCAUGGACUGAUGUCUUUUUUUUUUUUUUUUCAAGAUUGUGUGGGCUUCGACUUCCUAGUGAAUGGAAAUCAUUACUUAACUUAAUUACUUAAAUCAAAGUCCAAAAAAAAAAUUGACCCAAAGUGCAACCAACAAACAAUUUCCAUUUGAUGUAAUUUUAAUUCCAUCCGACGAUUGCUCACCCAAUUUGAUGACGUGCUACGCUGUAAAGUCAAUAUGGCAUUUUUUAAUAUUUUUUUUACGUACGUAGAGUUGAGUCAUCGACACGCUGCCAAACGGGUGCUGCAUUAGAAAGUAGGCCAAACGGAGAUAUUUAUGAUAUACUACUAAAAUUUACAUUCGAGAUUUCAAAUAAUGAAUCAAGAUAUAUUUUAGGCUGGUGAUUGCAUUUUAAAGCUAAAACAUCAGUACAAGUUAAAAAAAAUUCCACUUUAGUUGUCCCACGUAAAGAUUACGUUAAUUAAAUUCGGCUAAAUGGGUAUUCUUUUUCUGAUUCGUUAACUUAUUUUGAACAUCUACAAUAUGGUGAUUUCCUUUACGGUCCUCCUUUUCCAAGCCUGCUCAUGGUGUCAAGUUCUCAACAAAACGUAUCCCGUGCUCUUUGAUUGAGAAUUUACACUAGCACUCUACCUAAGGUGACAAAUGGCAAACAUGGCAUCCAAAUAUACCGUAUUUCUUGCUCAUUUUGGUCCCACUCGUGCCUCGUUUUUAUCUUUCCAGUUGGCAAUAAAAGGUCGUCGUGCUUCCAAAUAUCAAAUCCAGUAGUCUACGCUCGCGGUGGCUGUCACAGGUAGGAGUGUCCAAAAACUCAACCCGAACGCGAUAUUUUAGGUCUUAAUAUUAUUUAGGUAACAAUUACAAAACAAGCAAACAACCAUGUUUUGAGUCGGGUUGAGGUCGAAACAUUGUUCGGCUGGUGAACACAUUAUUAAUCUUAAACAAUGAAACAAACACGUUCUCUCAUCUCACCAAAAUACAAAACAUCCACACCCAAAGCCAAACACAUUGGUUCCGGACGACUCUUCCUUCUUGCCUUCUCCUCUUGUCGACUCCACCACCAUCAGCUACUACGCCUUCUCCGCUCAUACACUCCGCCGCUGCUGCCAGCGUCGACUCUGCUGCCACUGUCGGCGUCGAUUCUGCCACCACCCUCUUCUUUGCUCUUGCAUUCUAGGUUUCGCUUCGCGGUAAAAUCACCGCCCGUCACUCCUAUUUUGAGCCAUCUUCGUCCCCAAUUUGCAACCCAGGAAUCAAGCUUUGCCGGUUCAUCGUCUUGCCUUACAAUCGUUAUUACUAGCACAGGCCUCUCUUUCCUUUUUUUUUUUUUUUUUUUUUUUGUUUCCUUCUAGUUUUUCGUUUUCUCGUCGCCCUUCGACCUAAUUAUCGGGCUUUCGCUGGAAAACUUAGAGCUUGCUCUUUUUUUCUAUCCAAUGCUUGUGAAGAAAGAGCGACAUUGAAUCUCGAGAUGCUUUGCUUGGAGCUCCGCGUGUUCUUCACAAGUGAUCAUUCCGUGUUUGUUUUUUUAUGUGGUUUCUGGGAGAAUGGCUGUUGGCCCAUCACUCCUUUCCCCUCUCUUUCUCCUCUCUGUUUGCUAAUCUUGCUUUUCUUUUCUUUGCUACUUCAAUUUUUAUAAGUCUUUGGUGAUGAUUUUUCCUCUGCGAAAAAAUCAAAUCAAAACAGGGUUAGAGAAGUCGUACCUUCCACAUUGGGGCCUUUUGGAAUGAGAACUUAUUAUACUGUCUGAACUUUAUCGAAAGUGCGUGCAUUUGCUGUCAAUGUUGUUGUUCCCUUCUAAUAAAGUGUGAUCCUAACGCUUCAAAAGGGUCAUUAUGUCCCAACUUUGAAUAGGGUACAUUUACAGAGAAUGGAAAUAGAAUGAUUAAAUUGUGGGACUAGUGCCAAAUGUCACUUGUGGAAGUAAGGGCUCAUGAUAAGAAAAGGGUUGGAUCUUGUUUGCUGUAUAUGUACUUCUAACUUGAAAGAAGAUUUGAAAACAUCAGGGAAGCGGGAGCUGAACUUCGAGCUCAAACGUUACCUAGUGAUCAUUUUCACAGCUGAAUUUUAAUCUCAUCUUGUUUGACCUUUUUAUCUCAUUUUACUAUGGAACUGUGUCAGUAAAUAAGCUUAACCUUUUCCAGAUGGAGCUUCUUUAUGAAUGCUUUGGUAGAGCUGAAUGAGGGAUGGCUUCAUAACGUUAGAAAGGAAAAUUGGAACGAUUCUUCUAUUUUUUUUGUUUUUUGAUUUUUUAAUAAAUUGUUGACUGUCCCUUUAGAUAAUAAACAAAUAAAUCCAGUUCCUAGGCAUGUUAUGUAUAGUUCUAUGCUUCAAAAUUUAAUCGAACUGUUCUCUUAAAACUAGCAGAGGAACUCAAUAGGAAAUUCGUUGGGCGAUAAAGAAGAGGUGAGAGCGGAAAAAGAAGAGGGGAAAAAAAUGUAGACCCAGAACCCAACCUGGACCGGACCGAAUUAUUGCUUCAGGUAUUAUGCAUUUUGGGUCGGGUCAGGUAACGCCAAAACCCGACCUGACCCAUUGACGACCCUAAUCACAGACACACACAUAAUAAACACUAAAUAUCAGUAAAAGCAUGCAAAUCCAUAUAAUAGAGCGCAGGAGCUCACCACUCUCCUGCACGGCACUUCAACAGAAUAUCUAUACCAAUAUCCAGAAAACAAAGCAGACUCAGAAACACACCUGUUUGGCCCCGAAAGACACAGAAUACAAGUAAAAGAAAGACUCAAAACAGACUCAUAGAAGUAAAAAAGCGCCGCCACCGCCUGUCAAGCACCCAGUUCUGCAACCAGCAACUCGAUGAGGAUAGGAACGCGAGGCCACAACCAGCAAACCAUUUGCCCACCCGACCAACAUGGACAUAGCCAACAACUGCCAAAGAUUUAUUACUCCACCUGAGGAGACGAUGCUCAAAUGUUGAAGUGCCGACAAUGAACCACGCAAUUCACUUGCCACCCUUCUUGGCAGCAGACUUUGUGACCUUGGCACCACUAGGAUCCUUCUUCUCCACAUUCUUGAUGACGCCGACGGCGACGGUCUGACGCAUGUCCCUCACGGCAAAACGACCGAGGGGAGGAUACUCAGAGAAAGUCUCAACGACCAUGGGCUUGGUGGGGAUCAUCUUCACCAUCCCAGAGUCACCAUUCUUCAAGAACUUGGGUUCCUUCUCAAGCUCCUUACCAGAUCGCCUGUCAAUCUUGGUCACCAGCUCAGCAAACUUGACAGCAAUGUGGGAGGUGUGGCAGUCAAGAACAGGGGCAUAACCAUUUCCGAUUUGUCCGGGGUGGUUCAUGAUGAUAACUUGGGAGGUGAAGUUGGCUGCUUCCUUGGCGGGAUCGUCCUUUGAGUUGGAAGCAACAUAACCACGCUUGAGAUCCUUGACAGCAACAUUCUUCACGUUAAACCCAACGUUGUCACCUGGAAGGGCCUCCUGGAGAGCCUCAUGGUGCAUCUCCACGGACUUAACUUCAGUGGUCAAUCCAGAGGGACCAAAAGUGACAACCAUCCCAGGCUUAAUUAAACCAGUCUCAACACGGCCGACAGGGACAGUUCCGAUACCACCAAUCUUGUACACGUCCUGAAGUGGGAGACGGAGGGGCUUGUCAGAUGGUCUCUUGGGCUCAUUAAUCUGGUCGAGGGCCUCGAGCAAUGUUGGACCCUUGUACCAGUCAAGGUUGGUAGACCUCUCAAUCAUGUUGUCUCCCUCGAAUCCGGAGAUGGGGACAAAUGGAAUCUUGUCAGGGUUAUAUCCCACCUUCUUCAGGUAAGAAGAGACUUCCUUAACAAUUUCAUCAUACCUAGCCUUGGAGUACUUGGGGGUGGUGGCAUCCAUCUGUCACAAUAGAUGCCAAGUUAGGUCGUCAAUCAACACACCCAGAUGAAACCAUCAACGGCAGUGUGGAACAUUAAAUAUUACCUUGUUACAGCAGCAAAUCAUUUGCCUGACACCGAGGGUGAAAGCAAGGAGAGCAUGUUCACGGGUCUGGCCAUCCUUGGAAAUACCAGCUUCAAAACCACCAGUGGUGGAAUCAAUGAUAAGGACAGCACAGUCGGCCUGGGAGGUUCCAGUAAUCAUAUUCUUAAUAAAGUCACGAUGUCCAGGAGCAUCAAUGACGGUGCAGUAGUACUUGGUGGUCUCGAACUUCCACAAGGCAAUAUCAAUGGUAAUACCACGCUCGCGCUCGGCCUUGAGCUUGUCAAGCACCCAAGCGUACUUGAACGAUCUCUUGUUCAUCUCAGCAGCUUCCUUCUCGAAUCUCUCAAUCACACGCUUGUCGAUACCUCCAAGCUUGUAAAUCAAGUGGCCAGUGGUAGUUGACUUGCCAGAGUCGACAUGGCCAAUGACCACAAUGUUGAUGUGAACCUUCUCCUUACCCAUUUCGAGAUAUGGGGCUUAAAGCUGCGAAAAGGAAGAAAAACGAUUCUCAGAUUGGAGAGAAAUUGGACAACGGGUAAAGAGAGAGGAAAGGAAAUACAGCAACAAAAUGAAAUAAAGUGGAUGCAAGAUAAAUGCGAAGAUACACCAUUUGUCAAGAUUUGUACAAGAAAAAUGCAUUGUAUUUGUAAGACAGCAAAUUCAGCCUCACAUAUCAACAUCCAUAUGGUCAAUUGAAAAUCACUGCACUCCCUAUUUUCCAUGACUCCUUCGUUAGAAUUCAAACGAUAAAAUGGGGAGUAAACGGGCUGGGAUGCUAUGCUAAUGAAAUCCACAGACUGUCAUCGACAACGAAAUGAAAACUAUCAUGAUGUCACCUCCAUCACCAGCGCAACGAAGCAUAUUUCGAAUAAGAAAAUUCAAAACGCAGUACAGACCAUAUCUGAACAAACUGGCUGUUCACAGGUUGGGAAGCCGAUUCCCAUUCAACAAGAACCGAUUGCAGCACAACAACCAUCGGACCAUCAGCACGCACUGCUCGGGCUAUAAUCGAUUCAUCGCACACCCCCGAAACACCCCGUCGAUCAUUCCCGGCGCCCACGCAAUACACUCCCUCAUCAGGAAAUUAAAAAGAAAAGAAAAGAAAAGAAAAAACGUAACGACGCCAUCGAAUCCUCCGAAUCGCACAGCAAUCAGACGCGGAUAGACUCGCGAAGCUCGAGCAGGACCGAUCAACCAGAAUCGGAAGCCGGCGACGAUCAUCGACUCCACACGACUCGCGCUACGCCAUCGGGAAAACGAAACUUCCGCCGGCAACGAUCGAUCAGACGACAGACGCAGAACGAAUCCCAGCCAAAAAAAAAAAAAAAAACAAACAAAACAAAAAAAGCACGUUCGGAAAGUCAACGUCGAGUCAGCACAGCCACACCAGUUCAAGCGAAGCAAAACGAACACCAUCGACGCCAAUCCAUCACGCGGUCGAACGGAACGCAUAGAGCAUGAGCAGAAGAAGCAACCAGAGGAGGAAGAAGACGAAAAACGACCUCACCUCGGAAAAUCUCGGCCGCCGAGAAUCUCGAAAACCAGUGAAUCAACCAGCGAAAGAGACGACGGGGAAAUGAAUGCGCGGGUGGCACGGUAGGGUUCUGAGGGCGCUCGCUUUUAUACCGCUUCCCACCCUCGCGACGCUCCGAUUCCGCAAUUGCCCCCGCUUCGAGCGCCUAAUUCCGAAAUUGCCCUCGGGCGUUUUCUCUUUGCUUGGGGAGCAAGGCAGUGGAGGCUCCCAGGAUGGGAAAAUGUCCCGACCUUUUUUGCUGGCGAUUAAAAUAUUACAGUUGGCGGAGGAACAACUUCUCGAAAACGAAUUCUUUUUUUUUUUCGUUUGGUUUGAGGUUUUUGUCUUUUUGUUCUUUUUGUUCUUUUUUCUUUUUUUGCAACAGAAAAAAAAAAUCGCAAAAGAGACGCGAUAAUGUGUCAAUGAAAUAAUUUGCGCAUCUUUCCGACGUGGAGAUGCUCUUCCACCGCCAUCCUUUCCAAAAGAUACUAAGAAAGAUAUAUUGACUAAGGGGAUACGACGUACAAACCAAUCGAAAUUUAUCCCUUUUUUCCGAAGUAGGCCGAAAUUGCACAAUAAUCGAACGGAGAUAUGAUAUCUGCCUUGCGUACCACGUUAGGAUCGUUUAUCAUUUGUGCUCGUUGAAAACUAUAACAAUAAAUUGGCGAGAGUAGUUGGGGACCAUUCAAAUAUCCAGAAGAGCCGAUUUUGUCAAAGUAGCAAUGUAAUGUGGGAAUUGAGUCAUGUGGACUUAGGGUGUUAAAUGGGUUGCAUAACCCAUUUAUAGACCUAUUUAUGGUUAAAUGGGUCAUUAAUGGGUCAAGCUUUCUGCUUUCUUUCAUAAAGCACCCAUAAUGGGUUUUAAUGAGUUUUAAUGGGUCAAGACUAAGAUAUAUGGAUUUUAAAUGGGUUAGAGAGUUGACCCAUUUAUGACCCAUUUAUCAACCCAUUAAAAAUGAACCUAUUAAUUUUCACUCAAAAUCCCACCAUCUCUCUCCUCUCUUUAACUUUACAAUUUUUUUUUUUUUAUAAAAACCGAAAUUAUAAUUAUUUUUUUUUCUUUCUUCUUCCUCCGGUCGCCGGCACGGCGAUGGCCGGCGACCGGCCAGGCGAGCCUCGCUGAUCUGGCGAGACUCGAACUCGCCGGCGUUGGGCGAGGGGCGAGCUCGAGCUCGCCAGAUCUGGCGAGGCGGAGGCCUCACCGACGUCCGGCGAGGCUCGAGCUUCGCCAGAUCCGGCGAGGGGCGAGCUCGAGCUCGCCCGACGCUGGCGAGGCUCGAGCUCGCCGGAUCUGGAGCCUCGCCGAUCUGGCGAGACUCCAGCUCGCCGACGUCGGGCGAGCUCGAGCUCGCCGGAUCUGGCGAGACUCGAGCUCGCCGGAUCUGGCGAGCCUCGAGCUCGCCGGCGUCGGCGAGCCGGGCGAGCUUGAGGCUCGCUUGUGGCCGGCCGCCGGCUGUCGUCGUGGCCGGCGGCUGACCAAAGAAGAAGAAGAAAAAAGAAAAAAAGAAAAAGAAAAAAAAAAUUAAAUAUUAUAUUCUUAAAAAUAAAAAUAAUUAAAAAAUUAAUUUUUAAAAAAUAAAAAAUAAUUAAAAUUCGAAAUUUUUUAAAAUAAUUAUUUUAAAAAUUAUAAAAAUUAUCAAUUAAAUUUGUGUUGUAUAAAACCAUUUUAGCAAUAUCAUUUUAAAAAUAUAUAUAUAAACUUUUUUAGGUUUCGUUAAAUGGGUCGGGUAUGGAUCGGGUACGGGUCGGGUCGGGUAUGGGUUAAAAAUUUUGCACUGUAAUAAAUGGGUCAUAAACGGGUUAAAUGGGUCGAUUUGGGUUGGACCAUUUAUGACCCGACCCAAACCCGACCUGACCCACCCGUUUAACGGGUCUAUGUGGACUAUAAUAGGGGAGGCGGAAGAAGUUGAAUUAGUAAGUUAUGUGCAAAUGUUGAAUGCUGAAAAAUAGCCGACGUGUUAUUUAUUGACAACCGGUGGACUCAAUCAAUGAGAAUAGAAUUUGGUCAAAACAAAAAAUCAUCGGCGAACAAGAUGAUAGGUGAAUUACGGACUUGUCGACAAGGAAGAAAAUCAACAAUGCGUAGUCUGAAAAUUGUCUAACUUCACCGAUGUUUAAGAGAAGUUGAUCAAUAAAGUUAUCAACACUAAAUAAUCCUAUUAUUUUGGUCAAGCGUUAAGGUUGUGAAAUUAAUGAACUCAAUGAAAGCAUGUGAACACAUCAAUCGAAGACAGACAAUGAAUCAACAUCAGCACAUGACUACUAUGUCAAUAUUCUGGAGAAUUGUAAAUUUUUUUAGGUAAUCAUUGUAAUCUUGUCAGGUGUUUAUAAUGCAUAUACGCUUAGAAAUUUAUUUACAGAUUCAAAAUCCAUAAUCAUACGUACUAACUGAUGUUAGUGGGAUAUAAAAAUCCAUGAUAUAAUCUUUGUCAUUAACACUCACACAAUCAAUGACGGCAUGCCUUUUCUUUUCUUUUUUGUGACUCAGGAAUCGCCGUACAGCUGGCAGCCGGCGGCAUAAACCCAGGGCGACCCGAGAGGAGACGACAUGCCUUUUUAUCUUUAGUUCCCUUGCAAAAUUUGCAUUUCUGGCAACCUUUUGAUUUCCAAUAUUAUUUACAUUUCUUGUGACCUUUUCUUUCCUAGUACCUACACUUAAAAUUCCUUUGCAUUUCGUACCAUAUUCCUUUCUUGUCAAAAUCAACAAAGAACGUUUUCUCACAAUCUGUCUUUCUCGAGUCAAAUUGCAAUCCAUCAUUUUUUCGAAAGACAGGGCGAUAAAGAAGAUCUAAUGAUAUUUUUAUUUAAAUUGAAAACUAUCAUUAGAUCUAAUGAGAAAAAAGAAGAAGAAAACGACAGGAAUAUACAGAAAUUUUAAGAGGGAAAAAACUGAAAAAUUUAGCGUGUACAUCAAAAUCAUUUUAUUUCGAUCAAAACUAUUUUUUUUGUUUUUAAAAAUUAUUUUGAAAUAAAACUCCGUUCGAUAACGUAAUUUUAUUUUUGUAUUUUUAGAGCAAAUUUUCAAUCUAGAAAUAAAUUUGGAACAUAAAUAAAAAGUAAAAAAAAAUUAUACUCUCUUUCUAAAAUAGAAAUGAGAAAUAAACAAUCUUUCCAUUACUCGUCCUCGCUACUAACUGUCCGCUCACCUAUCGCUAUUUGCAGCCAUCAGUCGUUGUCAGUCCUGGACCAUAUGUUGGUCGAUAGUCGCUCACUAUCUUCAGCAGCUACUGGUUCCUGGCCAUCCGUUGGUCACUAUUCGCUUGCCACAUUUAGUUAUCGCUUGUUGAGAGGGAGAAAUUUCUUAUCGUUAUCAUAUAAAUAUAUAUUUUAAGAAGAGAAAUUUUGUAUCGUCAUCAACUAUGUAUUUUUAAAUAAUAAAAAUAAUAGAAAUUAGGUCGAUUUUGAGUGUGACCCAUGCUUCCCCUUGCCAUUGGAUGACUUCGGACUUCGGUGGAGGAUUUUGCUAAAAGAUUUAAGGAGGGGGGGGGGGAGAUGGAGGGAAUUGUUCGCGAUGGAAUCAAAGCUUCUUUGACGGCCGCUCCUAAGUGAUUAUUCUGGCUCUUGGAUUUACUUUUCGAACGACGAAUUUGACCGCAAGCUAUCUGUGUCAGGCGGAGAGCCUCCGAGGAUUCUCCACAUGGACCGACUUUUUUUAUCUUUUAGUAUUGAGAAAAAUCUUCACAUUUCAUAAUUAUCUUCUGUCUAGAAAAACCAUUUUGCAGGAUGCACGUGGUCCUUUCAUCUCUGGUGAUCCCGAUAUGCCUAUUAUUGUCCUAGCACGCUUGUCUUAUUACGAGAUUACCCUUGGGCUCCGACUGUACAAGGAUAACUUCUAUAAGAAGCAAAAUAAGAUCAGCGUUCCGAAAAUAUCUCUUCCAUGUACACUAUUCCCACGACCUUCUGAAUACUUUUCCUUCUUCCUCGAAGCACGGUGCCGACAAAAGUUAAGAGUUAGAGCGUUAGCUCAAUAUAUUAAGCACGAUUUUAGAAAUAUGUUCUCCGUUCAUCACUCUGUAAAUCAUAAUUUCUGAAAUUCAAGAGUUUUAUGAUAUAGAUAAGUGAUUUUAAAAAACUAAAAAGAAGUCCCCUCGAAAGUUUUAAGAAAACAACCUUGUGUCGUUGGAUAGCAUUACUGUCUUGGGAACUAUUAAUUUUAUACCAUGGACCCCUCAAUGUGCUCUUCAUGCCCCUAAUAAUUCCAAGAAGCAUGCUAAACUCUCGUCAAGUAAUUACAACAAAUCGAGUUCAAGCAUGCUCACACUUCGAGCUAAUUUUGAGAUCGACUAUGUUUGCAUGAAACUAUAACUAUAUAUGGGCCAGAGUAGUUGAGGAAUAGUCAAGUACUUGAAAGAGCCGGUUAUGUCGAAGUAAUGAUGUUAGAGUUGAGUCAUAUGGCGUGGAAUAGGCGAGUUUGGAAGAAGCCGAAUUAGUGAGUCGUGCAAAUGUGGAGCACUAAAAAGUGGCCGACUCUCUAGUUAUUGACAAGUGUCAGAUUGACUGGUAAGAGCAGCAUUUGGUCAGAACGAAAGCCAUCGGUGAACAAGCCGAUGAAGAAAAUCAACAAAGCACAGUGCAAAAAUUAUCAAUGAAAGCCUUCGCAAGGCUUAAGAGAAGAUGAUCGACAAACUCAUCAAUACUAAACUCCCGUUAAGUAAUUACGACAAAUUUGAAUGGAAGCGUACUCACGGCUCGAGCAACUUCUGAGAUUGACGGAACCAUUUCCGAAACACGCGGGGCAUUUUGAUCUAAGGACUACCAGGUCCUGUAGCCAAAAAUCUCUAGUCCAAUUCGAUUUAAGAAUACGAUCAUUUUUAACUCCUUGUCGGUGGCCUCAUUCAAGAAUUUCGGGAACUGACAUUUCGUCGUCUCUUGUCCAAUUCGAUUUAAGAAUACGAUCAUUUUCACUCAUUGUCGGCGGCCUCAAUCAAGAAUUUCGGGAACUGACAUUUCGUCGGUAACUCCUUUCGAGUUUAUAAGCUAGUCCACAAUAGUGUUAUACCAAAUAUUUUCUUAAUAGGUAAAAAAGUACUGAGUUUUAUGCAGUGGAGAACCAAUUAAUUCUCAUCAUUACCACAGUAAUCUUGAAAAUCGGUCGUCAUCGAAGAUGAUUAUACAUGGUUCAGCUGCUCUUGUUAUGCUACGCGCGAUCAGGACGUGCCUUAUUGCUUUUUCAACAGCAAGACCAAUUGAUAAUAUACCAUGCAAAGGGGGCAUAAUACGAAGGCCUGAACUGCAUUGAAAAAUGACCAAUAGUAGACUCUCAGCUGGUACGGAAAGAAAGCAAAGACAGUACAAAUGCCAGUGCACAAACGCAAGACUCAAAAUUGACUCGAGCUGGCGACCCCAAUCUGCCACCGCCUAUCGAGCACCCAGUUCUGCAACCACGUGCUCGAUGAGGACAGGAACAUGAGAUGGUGAUAACCAGCGCACCAAACCCCUAAAUGACCGAUAGACAGACAGCUGACAAUGACCAACGCCUUAUUGCAAUGACUCCCAUGUGAUACGAUGUCGAAUCUCAACCGCACGAUUCACUUGCCCUUCUUGGCAGCAGACUUGGUGACCUUGGCACCACUAGGAUCCUUCUUCUCGACACUCUUGAUGACACCAACGGCGACGGUCUGGCGCAUGUCCCUCACAGCAAAACGACCGAGGGGAGGAUACUCAGAGAAGGUCUCGACAACCAUGGGCUUGGUGGGAAUCAUCUUGACCAUUCCAGCAUCACCGUUCUUCAAGAACUUGGGCUCCUUCUCAAUCUCCUUACCUGAUCGCCUGUCGAUCUUGGUCACCAGCUCAGAAAACUUGACUGCAAUAUGGGAGGUGUGACAGUCAAGAACAGGGGCAUAUCCAUUUCCAAUCUGGCCAGGGUGAUUCAUGAUAAUAACUUGGGAGGUAAAGUUGGCUGCUUCCUUGGCGGGAUCGUCCUUCGAGUUGGAUGCAACGUAGCCACGCUUGAGAUCCUUGACAGCAACAUUCUUCACGUUAAACCCAACGUUGUCACCUGGAAGAGCCUCCUGGAGAGCCUCAUGGUGCAUCUCCACGGACUUAACUUCAGUGGUCAACCCAGAGGGACCAAAAGUGACAACCAUCCCAGGCUUAAUGACACCAGUCUCAACACGGCCGACAGGGACAGUUCCGAUACCACCAAUCUUGUACACGUCCUGAAGUGGGAGACGGAGGGGCUUGUCAGAUGGUCUCUUGGGCUCAUUAAUCUGGUCGAGGGCGUCGAGCAAUGUUGGACCCUUGUACCAGUCAAGGUUGGUAGACCUCUCAAUCAUGUUGUCUCCCUCGAAUCCGGAGAUGGGGACAAAUGGAAUCUUGUCAGGGUUAUAUCCCACCUUCUUCAGGUAAGAAGAGACUUCCUUAACAAUUUCAUCAUACCUAGCCUUGGAGUACUUGGGGGUGGUGGCAUCCAUCUGUCAUCAAAGAAUUAUAAGCUAAUUGUAAAUCAACACACACACAGCAAUAUACUAACAGCAACCUAGAAUAAACAGC
rnacentral:lncRNA from 1 species